rnacentral:rRNA from 1 species
ACUUGCACAAUUUAACCGGUUCUCGUUAGAUCACUGAAGUCAAGCAUCAUUGGGCGCGGUCAGUACUUGGGUGGGUGACCACCUGGGAACACCGCGUGCCGUU